rnacentral:lncRNA from 1 species
UUAAUUCACUCAAAAGUCUCAACAUUUCUCACAACAACCUGACAGGUGGUAUUCCAUCGUCGCUAAGAAAUCUGACAGAGCUUGAAUCUCUAGACCUCUCUUCAAACAAGCUUGCUGGACGUAUCCCAACACAACUGGCUAGUCUCAAUUAUCUUUCGGUGUUGAAUCUUUCGAACAACCAGCUCGAGGGACCCAUACCAGGAGGACCCCAGUUUAAUACAUUUCGAAAUGAUUCCUAUUCUGGUAACUCGGGACUGUGUGGAUUCCCAUUAUCAAAAAGCUGCAGCAUUGAUGAGGCACCAGAACCACCAACACCAACAGGAUUUAUCGAAGGAGACGAUGCUUCAAGCUGGUUUGAUUGGAAGCUCGCUAAGUGGGUUAUGCAUCUGGAGUGCUGAUCGGCUUGUCCAUCGGAUACAUGGCAUUUGUGACUGGAAGGCCACAAUGGUUUGUAAGAAUGAUCGAAAGGAAGCAAUCCAGGAAGCUGAGAAGGGUGAUCAGACGAGGCGGAGCAGGUAGAAGAAGUUUGUAGGUGCAUCUCCAAAGGCCCAGUUGAGUAAUUAUUAGUUUGUCUUUUGGAAUUAUAAGCUGGUUUCUACUGUUCUUUGAGUAGAUAGCAUGCUGAUAUUAUCGUAAUCUAACAGUUGACUCACAAAAACCACCAUCCUAAUUUAUUUCAGAUUAUGUUUAUUAUCAACAUCUAUAGCGAGAAACAACAUGAGCAUAAUGUGUAAGAAAGAAAAUUUUAACUGAAUUAUUGAUGUGGUUGUUUUCUUCAGGAAUUAUAAACUCCUGGAAGCAAGCAAUGGAAGUCAAAUAAUCCUCCAUUAAGUGUGUGCAUUGCUCUUCCUGGGGAAAAUGUAUUAAAUGAUAUCCCACACAUCUGCCAAUGGGCUUGUACAGGGUUUACAUCCGAUGGUUGAAAUUGAGAUCUUUUAUUAAAAGUCAAACAAUUUCUUUUUUCCUCACAUUCUCUUCUUUCGUCUGGUUCGAAAAUUUUGUUUCCAGACACAGAAAACCAAAACAUUAAUUUAUUAAAAGUCAUAAAAUAAUUAAUUGAAUAAAGAGAGAGUUUUUGAAAGGCUUCUUGUCUUCCCUAAGAACUCCUCCACUAUUCUCUCCCAACCAGCCUAAAAUUCUACAAUACAUUCGUCCAAUGGUGAUUAACACCCACAAAUAGAGCUCAAGAUGGCUAGAGAAAGAAUAAUGUAGUAGUUAUUGCCUGCAAUGAUUUCAAAGACUCUUAAGAUUUCCUCUGCUUUUACUCAAUUUCCGAGCUUGACACUCCUUAACCUCUCUUUCAAUUCCCAAGUUGGAUCAACUAAUUAGUCAGUUGGCCCAACUAUUUCCGAGUUUUCAGAAAGGAAGACUUCAAUUGUCCCCAAGGGUCGAAAAGUAAAUAUCUAAAUGGUUAUUAAUUGGAUACAGCUUCAGCUUUUGGACUGGUUUGUGGAAAUUGAAAAAAUUUGAAAAGUGUUCCUCUUGAAGAAUCAAAGUCUACUUUAUACGUAAAGAAAGGGGAUCCCAGUAAAGAUAAUCCAUCAAUGUUCAGUUACAUUCGAGCGUGUUGACUACCUUCACGAUGAAAGACUUCUAUUGUCCCAAGGAGUUUAAUCGAGUGAUUUUUUAAGUAUUCCACUGACCAACAUGAGAUUCCAAAGCAAGACUUGGAAUAAGUAUCGAGGGGUCCACACGCAUUUCCGCGAGACCUCGCUGAGUUUUGCGAGGUCCAUACAUACUGAAUAGCUUACCUCAGAAUCUUCACCUGCUGACGCGAGAAUGUUUAGAACCUUUGAGGAUGCAAGGCCAGUUACACUCCCCUUAUGAACAAAUUCAGUGGCAGCCUUCCUCAAACAUUUGCAAAAAGUUGUGUCUUGACAAGUCUUAACCUCAAUGGCAAUUGGUUGGAAGGGCCGAUGCCUCCAUCUUUGGUUAACUAUUGGCAUUAUAAGCUGGUUUAUGUAUUGUUCAUGGAGUAGAUAACCAGCUGAUAUGUUUCAUAUUCUAACAGUUGAUAUACAAAAAUCCCAAUCCUGAUUAAAUUCAAAUUAUGUUUAUAAUCAGCAUCUAUAGUCUAUAGAGAGAGAGAAAAUGAGGGCCACAUUUUAAAAAUAAUUUUGACGUAGGAAAUUAUUUGGGGUGAAAUUCAUUUGGUGCCAUUUAGGCCACUUUUUUUCAAUUGGGCGUAUGUUAUAUACUUUUUCAAAGCUGGUAACAAGAUGAACAAUGUUGCCCAUUUGCCUUUGACUCUGAUGUCCGGGGGCUUUUACGAAAUUGUACAAUUUCAGGACUCAAAAUCGCAUUUGAAGUUAUUUCAAAUUCCAGCACUUCGGGAAAUUUCUAAGAUUUGUACUUUACUACUUUUAUUUUCAUAACCAAUUCUUAUUUUCUUAACACAUUUUGGAGAACAUACAACUGAAAUCAUUUUUACCUAAUAACCUAGCAAAAAGCUACUACAUCUCACAAUGUUGACCUCUGGGCUAAUCAAGCAUUUGACUUUCCUAAUACAAUUUAUCACAAAACGAUUAUCCCUUUUCAUAUUUUAAGUUCAGUAAUAAGAAUGAGGGGGCACCUUCCAAAUGUAUGCACCUUUUUUAGUUUUAUCCCACAAAACUUUAUCACAAAACAAUGGCCUUUUCAUAUUUUCAGUUAUUGCUCAAUCCCUUCACAAAAAAUUAUGCACAUUUACAAGGGAUAGAAGAUUUUGGUUUGGCUUUGAUUUUGAUAUGACUAUAAAUACUAUUGAAAUUACAAACUUUAGAGGCUCACGAAAUAAAUAUUGUAAAUUUAAGGGGGCUAAAUCAUAAGCUUUACAAAUAAGUGGAUUCAAUUUUAGUUUGUACCUUUAUCAGCGAAUCCAAUUUUCCAAUUUUCAAACCAAAAUGUAGUUUUAAUUUUUUGAUUAAAUUUCUUUUGAAAAUGCUCAACUAAAUACUUUUUAUGGUUAGAUGUUAGUUUGAAUGAACACGUUCAUAGAUGAUUGUGUAAGCAAUUUAUUUGGUUAAUUAACGGUUGUACUCUUUAAAAAUGCGAAUUACUAAUUUUAAAAAAUUUCAGUGGUUAGUGUAUUAAAAGUGUGUUUGGAGCAUAGCAAUGCAUGUUAUUGUAAUACUAUUCACAUUAAUUUAUUACUAAACCAUGAUUGGUAAUUUAGAAGCUACAUUGUGGUGCAUAUGCACCAUAAUGCGCCAACUUUUGCCUCAAUUGAGGCAUUAAAUAUAUUUUAAUUAUAAUAAAUUAAAUAUAAAAUAAGUUAUAUUAUAAUAUUUUUAUUCAAUAGCACAAUAUCACAUUAUAUUUAUACAUUAGUAAUUAAUAUAAAAUAAUAAUUUAAUAAUUAAUUUUAUAUAAUUAACAAUAAAAUAAUAAUAAAUUUAAAUAAUAUUAAUACAAAAUUAAUAAAGUACAAUCCAACACAAAAUAUUAUACGAUAUUAUUAUAAUGCAAUGCUUAUUCAAUACUGCAUAAAGUGAUGACAUAAUACGGUGUAAGUAAAGAGUAAUGGAUUUUAGUUGGCAAUAACGUAUGCCCAUUACUAUAAAGCAAUGGCCCAACACUUGGCAUGUCAAAAACAAAAACUGUCCACGUCCUCGGACACACACUGGCGCCACGUCAUCACUCACUGUAAACUGAAAAGAAAAUUUUUUAUAAGAAAACAGUUGAAUAAUCGAAUUUCGAGUCUUUGGCGGACGUUAUUCUUUUAUGCUAAAUAUAUCUUUGAGUUAAACAGUUAUUAAAACAUUGGGGCUAGUUUUUCAUUUAACUACAAAAUUACUUUUUUUGAAACCCAUAAAACCAUUUUUAAGUGGUAAAUUAGUUCUAUCACGUCUUCAACUAUUACCAAAUUCUUAUUCGAGUUCACCAUUUUAGUAGUAAAUGCAUUAUCUAAAUAAUUUCAAAUGAUGUAUUAAAUAAAUAUUUUGAGGAACAAGGCUCAUCAUGUCUCCUCUCAUUAGUUGUAUUUUUAAUUUCUUUUUAAAAAAUUCUCACAUAAUCAAUUAAAAAAAAUUAAGCCACAAAAAAAAACAAAGUAUUUAGCUUCGCAGCUGAAUGGGGCUAAAUUGUGUAUUAUUUGGCUGGUGAAACUCUUACCACAUCGGCUAAUAUGCUACUUUUGGAUCCCUUAUUUUAACUUUUAUCAUGACAUGGCAGUGGUGGUAACAGAGCUUGCUCAUAUUGGUAGAAGUGAAAUGAUUGCAAGUAAUCUCCCACUAUGACUGGCAUUUUUAUCUUAUUUAAGUUUCGGUGAAGCCCAUCCACAUAAAAUAAUUGGCAGGAAGUGUUAAGGAGAAAAGAUAGUCCUAAUUCAAUGCAUGGGGAUGCUGCUAUCACUUUUUAUUACUAAAUAUUUUUAAAUUGGAAUAAUGUAUUAACGGAAUAAAAAUUUUCAUAAUCUAACAAUUGAUUUACAACAACCCGAGUCCUCAUUAAAUUCAAAUAAUAAUUAUAAUCAACAUCUAUAGGAAAAUGGAAAACGAGAAUCAUAUGUAAAAAGAAAUCAUUUCGUAUGCCCAUUACCGUAUUAUAUUUGUACAUUAGAAAUUAAUAUAAAAUAAUAAUUUAAUAAUUAAUUUAAUAUAAUUAAUAAUAAAGCAGUAAUAAAUUUAAAAAAUAUUAAUACAAAAUUAAUAAAGUAUAAUCUAACAUUAAAUACUAUACAAUAUUAUUACAAUAAAAUACUAAUUCAAUACCACAUAAAGUAAUAUACGUGCAUUAUUUGGAACUGGCAUAAAGUAAAAUUAAUAAAGUAUAAUCUAACAUUAAAUACUAUACAAUAUUAUUACAAUAAAAUACUAAUUCAAUACCACAUAAAGUAAUAUACUUGCAUUAUUUGGAACUGGCAUAAAGUAAAAUUAAUAAAGUAUAAUCUAACACUGUUACAGAUAUUAAUACUAUAUCAACACACAUGGAAAAACUGGAAUAGAUUUUUAUUUGGAACUGGCAAUCUAACUUCCCACUUUUUUGACAAACUUAUGUAGACAAACUAAUAAAAGAGGUAUCAGGAGGAUGGGUGUUUAAUCUUCGAAGUCCUGCCCCAACAACCUUCAACAGUUUAUGCCUGUCCUAGUUGAAGCUAAAUACAAUAGUAAAGAAUCAAUAAGAGAGAUGAAAAUAUUUAUAAUAGUGAAGGAAAGCCUAAACCAAGAAUUGAAGUAAAAUAAUAAUAAUUUAAGUGAUAAAGUCGGUGCUCGUACUCCUGUUAAUUCUAGAUAAAUCUGAUUAGUUUGACGACUUUUACCAGUUCAAAUGCUCUUCUGAUUGCUAAAUAGAAAGUUGGACGCAUUCUUGAAUUGAAUUUAUAUCAUCGUCUGACCUCUUCAAAACCUACUAUGAAAGUGAUACAAAUCAUUAAAAAAUAAAGGCAUGACCUGGACGCUGAUCAUUCUUCAUUCAUAUUCAAAGAUUCAAUCGGCCCUGAUAUUACAUGAAUAUUAAAAUCGACUGACAUGGUAUGGUAAUGGAAUGAGCGUAUGCAUAUGCAUGCUUAUUGCUGAAUAGAAAGGUGUGAGAUUAAAACCACAUGUCGAUGCAAUCAACAUGGAAUACAUGGAAUUUGAAGACAACAGUUUAUGCAUAUGCAUGCUUAUUGCUGAUAUUACAUGUUUAGCUGCCGAACAACUUUUUUAACAAACUGAAACAGAAUUAAAGCCGAGGAUGGAAAAUCAAUUGUGUUUUGUGCAUAAUGUAUAUGACUGACUGACUAACUACGAGUUUAGCUGCCUGCCACAUUAGCAUAAUAUAACACAUAACUAAUAUCAUUCCGCGUCGAGCAUGUCGUCAAGAUCCCCCUCUUGAAAGGAUUCCACUUACCACCUAAAUUCCAAAGCUAGAAGACUUGGUGCUGUAAGUCAAUAAAUAUUCUAUUAUUAAUUAAUUACACACCAUAUUCAACUUCUAUAAAUAGUCAUUAUAUCUCUCUCUCUUCUUGUGAUUUCAUCAUCCAGAAAAGAAAAAGAAAAAGAAAAUGGGUUAUAUCACUCAGCCUUAUCAACUUUUUAUUUGCCUCCAGUUAUUGCUCUUCUAUUCUCAGUAUUCAGCAAUACUUUGCUCUCACGACCAAAGUUCUGCUUUACUCCAAUUUAAGCAGCUCUUUUCCUUUCAAAAACAUUCUUCGCACCGUUGUGAAAUAUCUCGUCCAAAGAUGAUGUCUUGGAAAGAGGGCGCUAAUUGCUGCUCCUGGGAUGGAGUAACAUGUGAUUCGGUGACGGGUCACGUGAUUGGCCUCGACCUCAGUUGCAGUUGGCUUCACGGCAACAUCCCUUCCAACACUAGCCUUUUCUUUCUUUCUCGCCUGCAAAAGCUCAACCUGGCUUACAAUGAUUUCAAUUACUCUAAGAUUUCCUCUGGUUUUAGUCAAUUUCCGAGCUUGACACUCCUUAACCUCUCUUCCAGCAAUUUCAUGGGGUCAAUUCCUGCCUCACUAGGUAACAAUAUUACACAACUUGCUUAUUUGGAUCUUUCGUAUAAUAAUUUUAGUGGUCACAUUCCAGCAUCUUUUUCAAAUCUCCAGCAACUUCAUCACUUAGAUCUUUGAAAUUCCUGCAUCACUAGGUAACAAUAUUACACAACUUGCUUAUUUGGAUCUCUCAUUUAACAGUUUUACUGGUCAGAUUCCAUCAUCUUUUUCAAAAAUUCAGCAGCUUCAUCAUUUAGGUCUUUCGUACAAUCACUUUGUUGGUGAAAUUCCUGCUUCACUUGGUAACAAUAUUACACAACUUGCUUAUUUGGAUCUCUCAUCUAACAGUUUUAGUGGUCAGAUUCCAUCAUCUUUUUCAAAUCUUCAGCAGCUUCGUCAUUUAGAUCUUUGGGGCAAUAACUUUGUUGGUAAAAUUCCGGAUAUGUUUACCAACCUAACCCAACUUUCUAUUUUAGGCUUGGCAGAUAAUCAACUGAUUGGCUCGAUUCCAAGUUCAAUCUUUGAACUUGUUAAUUUGACAUUAUUCUCUCUUUCUUCUAACAAUUUCAGUGGCAGCGUUGAGCUUUACGAUUUUGCAAAGCUCAAAAAUCUUAAAUAUCUUAGUCUUUCUAAUAUUAGUUUAUCAGUUAGCACCAAAUUAACAGUCGACUCGUCUUUCCCUAAUCUUUCGUAUUUAGCUUUAUCGGCUUGCAAUAUAACUGAGUUUCCAGUCAUCUUGAAAACUGAACAUCAGUUAGUGUGGUUGGACCUUUCUAAAAACCAAAUCCAUGGUAGGAUUCCCAGUUGGAUGUGGGAUAUAGGAGUACAUACUUUGCGAUUUCUAAUUCUUUCACAAAACUUCCUGACAAGCAUAGACCAUCUUCCGUGGAAAAAUCUCGUAUAUCUUACCCUUGAUUCGAACCUACUUCAAGGAUCACUUCCAGAUCUACCACCUCACAUGGUACAGCUUUCAAUUUCCAACAAUAAUUUGACCGGAGAGAUUCCUUCAUCAUUUUGUAAUUUGAAUUCCAUUAAAUCUUUUGACGUAUCCAACAAUAGCUUGAGUGGACAAAUCCCAGAGUGUCUUGGAAACUCUACACUUCAAACUUUGGAUCUCAGAAUGAACAACUUCCAAGGUACCAUCCCACAGACAUAUGCAAAGGGCUGCAACUUGACUUCGCUUCAGCUGAGUGGCAAUCACUUGGAGGGACACAUACCACCAUCUUUGAUUAACUGUGUCAAUUUGAAAUUUCUUGAUGUUGGGAAUAACAACUUGAGCGCCCCAAUUCCAGAAUGUCUUGGAAACUCAACACAUUUGUCAUUUUUUGAUGUUGGGAAUAACAGCUUAAGCGGGCCAAUUCCGGAAUGUCUUGGAAACUCAACACUUGAAAUCUUAGAUAUGAGAAUGAACAAGUUUAGUGGCAGCCUCCCUCAAACAUUUGCAAAAAGUUGUGUUUUGGUAAGUCUUAACCUUAAUGGCAAUCGGUUGGAAGGACCAUUGCCUCCAUCUUUGGUUAAUUGUCGACAUUUGGAAGUUAUAGAUGUUGGGAACAAUCAGAUUAAUGAGACCUUUCCCCACUGGUUAGACGUUCUUCCCGAAUUGCAAGUACUUACAUUGCGUUCUAAUAGAUUUCGUGGUCCCAUUGGUGAUAUCAAAACAAGAGUUCCUUUCCCCAAGUUGCGAAUAAUUGAUCUCUCUUACAAUCGAUUCACCGGUCUUUUGCCAAUAUGGUAUCUGAAUGGUUUUAAAGCCAUGAUGCACGGGAAUGACAAUAAUAUUGAAUUCAAUUAUAUGAGGUCGUUGAAUUUUUCUUACUAUGAAUCAAUAUCUCUGACUAUGAAAGGCAAUGACAUACAAAUGGAGAGGAUUUUAACCACUUUUGCAACUAUUGAUUUGUCGAGCAACAGAUUUCAAGGGGAAAUAUCAGAAGUGUUGGGAAAGCUUAAUUCACUCAAAAGUCUCAACAUUUCUCACAACAACCUGACAGGUGGUAUUCCAUCGUCGCUAAAAAAUCUGACAGAGCUUGAAUCUCUAGACCUCUCUUCAAACAAGCUUGCUGGACGUAUCCCAACACAACUGGCGAGUCUCAAUUAUCUUUCGGUGUUGAAUCUUUCAAACAACCAGCUCGAGGGACCCAUACCAGGAGGACCCCAGUUUAAUACAUUUGGAAAUGAUUCCUAUUCUGGUAACUCGGGGUUGUGUGGAUUCCCAUUAUCAAAAAGCUGCAGCAUUGAUGAGGCACCAGAGCCAACAACACCAACAGGAUUUAUCGAAGGAGAUGAUGCUUCAAGCUGGUUUGAUUGGAAGCUCGCUAAGUUGGGCUAUGCAUCUGGAGUGGUGAUCGGCUUGUCCAUCGGAUACAUGGCAUUUGUGACUGAAAGGCCACAAUGGU